ensembl:rRNA 5S_rRNA 5S ribosomal RNA
GUCUAUGGUUGUACCACUCUGAAUGUACCCAAUCUUGUCUGAUCUCAGAAGCUAAGCAGAGUUGGGCCUGGUUGGUAUUUGGAUGGGAGAUGAGCAUGUGGAAAUACAACUAUACAUA